UACGAAGGGUGCAAGCGUUACUCGGAAUUACUGGGCGUAAAGCGUGCGUAGGCGGCUUGUUAAGUCCGCUGUGAAAGCCCUGGGCUCAACCUGGGAAUUGCAGUGGAUACUGGCAAGCCAGAGUGCGGUAGAGGAUGGUGGAAUUCCCGGUGUAGCGGUGAAAUGCGUAGAGAUCUGCAAGAAUACCCGUGGCGAAGGCGGCCAGCUGGGCCGGAUCGACGCUGAGGCGCGAAAGCGUGGGGAGCAAACAGG
rnacentral:rRNA from 1 species